rnacentral:lncRNA from 1 species
CAGCGGGAAGGGGAUUUAUAGACUAGCUGUUCUGACACUGCAGUGAGAAGGUGAUUUAUAGACCAGCUGUCCUGACACUGCAGUGAGAAGGUGAUUUAUAGACUAGCUGUUCUGACACUGCAAUGAGAAGGUGAUUUAUAGACUAGCUGUCCUGACACUGCAGUGAGAAGGUGAUUUAUAGACUAGCUGUCCUGACACUGCAGUGAGAAGGUGAUUUAUAGACUAGCUGUCCUGACACUCAGCAGUGAGAAGGUGAUUUAUAGACUAGCUGUCCUGACACUCAGCUGGGAAGGUGAUUUAUAGACCAGCUGUCCUGACACUGCAGUGAGAAGGUGAUUUAUAGACUAGCUGUCCUGACACUGCAGUGAGAAGGUGAUUUAUAGACCAGCUGUCCUGACACUGCAGUGGGAAGGUGAUUUAUAGACUAGCUGUCCUGACACUGCAGUGAGAAGGUGAUUUAUAGACUAGCUGUCCUGACACUGCAGUGGGAAGGUGAUUUAUAGACUAGGUGUCCUGACACUGCAGUGGGAAGGUGAUUUAUAGACUAGCUGUCCUGACACUGCAGUGGGAAGGUGAUUUAUAAACUAGCUGUCCUGACACUGCAGUGAGAAGGUGAUUUAUAGACUAGCUGUCCUGACACUCAGCUGGGAAGGUGAUUUAUAGACCAGCUGUCCUGACACUGCAGUGAGAAGGUGAUUUAUAGACUAGGUGUCCUGACACUGCAGUGAGAAGGUGAUUUAUAGACUAGCUGUCCUGACACUGCAGUGGGAAGGUGAUUUAUAGACUAGCGGUUCUGACACUGCAGUGAGAAGGUGAUUUAUAGACUAGCUGUCCUGACACUCAGCUGGGAAGGUGAUUUAUAGACUAGCUGUCCUGACACUGUAGUGAGAAGGUGAUUUAUAGACUAGCUGUCCUGACACUGCAGUGAGAAGGUGAUUUAUAGACUAGCUGUCCUGACACUCAGCUGGGAAGGUGAUUUAUAGACUAGCUGUUCUGACACUGCAGUGAGAAGGUGAUUUAUAGACUAGCUGUCCUGACACUGCAGUGAGAAGGUGAUUUAUAGACUAGCUGUCCUGACACUGCAGUGGGAAGGUGAUUUAUAGACUAGGUGUCCUGACACUGCAGUGGGAGUCUGUGUGUCUGAGACCGGAUGGUGACUGAUCCAACCUGCCGUUAGCUGGAGAUAUUAUGAAGGUUCUGGCGUCAUGGUCAGGGUUUUUGC